rnacentral:rRNA from 1 species
UACGUAGGGUGCAAGCGUUGUCCGGAAUUAUUGGGCGUAAAGAGCUCGUAGGCGGUUUGUCGCGUCUGCUGUGAAAACUGGAGGCUCAACCUCCAGCCUGCAGUGGGUACGGGCAGACUAGAGUGCGGUAGGGGAGAUUGGAAUUCCUGGUGUAGCGGUGGAAUGCGCAGAUAUCAGGAGGAACACCGGUGGCGAAGGCGGGUCUCUGGGCCGUAACUGACGCUGAGGAGCGAAAGCGUGGGGAGCGAACAGG